rnacentral:rRNA from 1 species
GAUGAACGCUAGCGGCAGGCUUAACACAUGCAAGUCGAGGGGCAGCGUGAGGGUUAGCAAUAACCCUUGACGGCGACCGGCGCAAGGGUGCGUAACGCGUGAGCAACUUGCCCUUAUCAGGGGGAUAACCGGUGGAAACGCCGACUAAUACCCCAUGGCAUUGGUUGGAGGCAUCUCCUUCCAAUUAAAGAAUUUCGGAUAAGGAUAGGCUCGCGUGACAUUAGCUAGACGGCGGGGUAACGGCCCACCGUGGCUACGAUGUCUAGGGGUUCUGAGAGGAAGGUCCCCCACACUGGAACUGAGACACGGUCCAG